ACGACCUUACUUGAACAGGAUCUGUUCUAUAGGUUGUACAUCUGUGUCCUUGAGUUCUAAGGAGACAAGAACCAAAACAAAGUCUGGUGGAUGAUCUACUGCCUUGAGGCUAGAGCGUGAUUAACGGUUCAACAGGCCUUGGUCUGGCGGCUAUAGAGGAUCGUUCUUGGCAGGCUUACCACCUGCUGAGAUGGCCCCAAGGCGGUCUGACAGACU
rnacentral:snoRNA from 1 species